GAAGUCCCGCCCGGGUAAGCACUAGCCAUGCGCCCGGUAGCGAGUCUUGGGUCCGCCGCCGGUAACGGAGCGGGCUAAGCGUAGAUAGCAAGCGAACGGGGUCUGUAUUGAGCCACGUAAUGGGUUGGUCGCGGUCGCCGAGGCUGUUCAUCCUGCCGAAGGCAACACCGAGCGCUGCGCAACUGGCGAGCAGCGCGCGGGCCGCCGGGGUCGGAGACCA
rnacentral:ncRNA from 1 species